rnacentral:rRNA from 1 species
GACGAACGCUGGCGGCGUGCCUAAUACAUGCAAGUUGAGCGCUGAAGGUUGGUCCUUGUACCAACUGGAUGAGCAGCGAACGGGUGAGUAACGCGUGGGGAAUCUGCCUUUGAGCGGGGGACAACAUUUGGAAACGAAUGCUAAUACCGCAUAAAAACUUUAAACACAAGUUUUAAGUUUGAAAGAUGCAAUUGCAUCACUCAAAGAUGAUCCCGCGUUGUAUUAGCUAGUUGGUGAGGUAAAGGCUCACCAAGGCGAUGAUACAUAGCCGACCUGAGAGGGUGAUCGGCCACAUUGGGACUGAGACACGGCCCAAACUCCUACGGGAGGCAGCAGUAGGGAAUCUUCGGCAAUGGACGAAAGUCUGACCGAGCAACGCCGCGGGAGUGAAGAAGGUUGUCGGAUCGUAAAACUCUGUUGGUAGAGAAGAACGUUGGUGAGAGUGGAAAGCUCAUCAAGUGACGGUAACUACCCAGAAAGGGACGGCUAACUACGUG